AGUGAACGCUGGCGGUAGGCCUAACACAUGCAAGUCGAACGGCAGCACAGUAAGAGCUUGCUCUUACGGGUGGCGAGUGGCGGACGGGUGAGGAAUACAUCGGAAUCUACUUUUUCGUGGGGGAUCACGUAGGGAAACUUACGCUAAUACCGCAUACGACCUACGGGUGAAAGCAGGGGAUCUUCGGACCUUGUGCGAUUGAAUGAGCCGAUGUCGGAUUAGAUAGUUGGCGGGGUAAAGGCACACCAAGGCGACGAUCCGUAGCUGGUGUGCUAGGAUGGUCAGCCACACUGGAACUGAGACACGGUCCAGACUAAUAUGGGGGGCGGCAGAGGGGAAUAGAAGACAAGGGGCGCAAGCCUGAUCCAGACAUACCGAGUGGGGGGAGAAGGCCUUCGGGUUGUAAAGCCAUUCUUUUGGGAAAGAAAAGCAGCAGGUUAAUACCCCGCUGUUCUGACGGUACCCAAAGAAUAAGCACCGGCUAACUUCGUG
rnacentral:rRNA from 1 species